GUGCUGACUGUGGCAAUACUAGCACUAGAACUGGAAAGAUACCAAAAAGAUUAGCAUGGCCAAUGCAAGGAUGAGAUGCAGAUUCGUGACAUAUUUUCUGCAUGG
rnacentral:snRNA from 1 species